rnacentral:lncRNA from 1 species
AGCACACACAGUACAUAUGAAUAUCAAAUAACAAGUGCAUCAUUUACCAUAACGUAUGAUCCAAAAUCCAUAAAGUAUUACAAACUGAGUAGCAAAUAGCUAACUUUAUUCAAUAAUAACAGUGGAAAGGUGGCAUAAUAAACGAUGAGUCCAUCAACGCCCACUAGCGAAAAAUGUUGAGUGAAGACUCGCAACCCUACUGUAUCUCACUAAUCAUCUGAAUAUCCUGCAACAUGAUAAGUUGCAGCCACAAGGGUCAAUACAUUGAAUGUAUUGGCAAAUCACACAAUAUGAUAAAGCAAACCUACAUCCACAAGCAAAGUAUGACAAACAAAACACUCAAAUUUGGUUUCAUGUAAAACUACCUUCACCUACCUCCACGACAUAGACAAGGUGCAAACAACACAGAUGAUAAAGAUCUUCAAGAUGUCUCAAGUGCGCUCAGUCCUGGCGCAUUCUCUAGGGACAAUAGAGCGCUCAGCUAGUGAUGCAUUCACGUGAGAAAAAUCCCCGACAACUCAAGUGCGCUUAGCCAUGGCGCAUUCUCUAGGGACAAUAGAGCGCUCAGUCAUUGACGCAUUCACCUGAGAAAAAGUCCCGAGCCUACAGCUGUAAAGACUCACCACUUCCAUGCAUCACUCGACACAUGCCCACGUCUACCAUCGCAAGUUGAUCACAGCAUCACAUAACACAGCUAACGCCAAAACAUGACAACACGAGAUACACAUAUCAGGCCAAACAUAUUUCAUAGCAUCAAACCACACAUGCAUAGUAGAAUAUAGGAUGAGCAAAAUCAAAAGUGCAAACUUGCCUUGAGCGGUGUUGAAGUACUCUAACGCUUAAUUCGGAUCUGCUUCACUCUCCGGACAAUCUAUACGAGAACGAAGGCCCCGAUAAAUAAAUUGUACUCACAUAACACCACAAUAAAGUCGACAUCAAGGAAUUCAAAUAAAAAUUUAAUUAGCAGAACAUAUCAGUAGGUAUCUAUUAUCUACAUGCUAGUAGGAUCACAAUGCAAAAAGAAUCAACUAAUUUAGAUCAGCGGUUUGAAAGAUGUGGCCUCCGAAAGUUUGAAUUCAAAUUUAAUCAAUAUUCUCCUGGUCACUACGAGUACACAGGAAAAAGAAUCGAUGAAUUUGGAGUUAUGGAUCUCAAGAUAUACCUAAAUGAAAAUUUGAUAUGAAAUCUACCCAAAAAUAUUGUGUCAAAACUGUGUUCAUGGAAGAACUGCCGUGGCUGCUGCGGAUGUGCCACGUGGCAGGUUUCUACUGCCUCCGAAGUGUUCGCUGCGAGGUCUAAAGGGCGAACGGCCACUAAAUAGUGCAUACCUAUUCGAAGAAAAAAAAACAGGACAUGAUAUAAUCUGGACCGUCAAAGAGAGAUCGGGCGGUUGACAAUUGCUCAUCGGAGACAGGGGCUGGGUGGCCGCCGGAGUUGAACAAGACAGACGCGGGCGGCACGGGAUCGAUGUUGGGGUCGUCUCUGGUGAUCUCCUCAAGAUUACAAGGUCACAAGGAGAAGCUGCAGAGAUAGGCGGUCUCGAACAUGUCGUCCGGGUCUUCGGAAAGAUCUGCUAGCAACGGCACAGUCCAGGAAGAGUUCGCGGCGGCGAUGUGCUUCUGGUCAGGGUCGAUGCGGUCGCUAUACUGCUCCCCUGCGUGAAGUAGAAGAUGAGGGAAAAUCAGGAGAUCAAAGCGCGAAUAAGAGGACCAAAAGGAGAAGCAGGAAACCUCCAGUGGCAUCUGAAUCAACUAGCGAAGACCUCCUGUGACGGCGAAACUCUGGUGAGAUCGCGACGACGCCCUAGGGCAUGGGUGACAGCGAUUUUGCCAAAAAUCGGGCGAGAUGGAGGUGGAGAUCUCAUAUAGGGUGGAUCCCGUGUAUGGGGCUCAAGAAUCAAUCGAAUCCAUCGAUUUCAUCUCGGUGGGGUUCGGUGAGCUACAGGAGACCGUGACGAACACGUGCUGCGAGGAAGAUGACAUGCGGGACCCGAAGUCAGCGGGAGAGAGAAGAAAAAGGAAAAAAACGAAAGGCAGCGGGGUGGGCUAUGUCCUGCGGCGAAAUGGGUCGCCGGCCUACUAGCGGCUGCUGCUGCGCUGCUGUUCAGUGCGCGCGCGGGCGAGGGUUAUCUGGACCGCUGUGCAGCCCGGCUGCACACAGUGCGACUGGGGUUUUUUUUAGAAAAAACUUUGCUACAGAAAGUAAAUAAAUCUAAACCAAUAGGAAAUUAAAUCCUAGAAAAACACCAGAACACACAUUAAAUCAUUACUGCUACUAUAUAAAACAGUGAACAUUUUUAACAACACAAAUGCAUUUUUGGAAAAUAAUUUUAUGCAAUACAAGCACAUAAAGAGCAUUAUAAUAACAACUAUAAAAUAAUUUUGAGUUUCUAAAAUUCCCAAAAUAGUUUCUGUAAACUCCAUAUAAUAUCAUUAACCUUUUCUAAAUAUAAUUUAUAGGGGAUAAGUCAUAUUAUCUCCACUCAAAAUAUUUGCCUUAAGUUGCAAUAACAAUUUGAACAAUCAGAAAAUUUCAAAUAUGCAUAGAAAAAUCAUGAUGAAAAAGAAUGAUCCUAUUAACAUACCAAAUUGGAAAAUUUGGGAUGUUACAAAUCUACCAUCCUUAAAAUGAAUCUCGUCCUCGAGAUUCGAAGAGGCUAGAAAGAAAAAACUAGGGUUGGUUUCUCCUUGAAUAUCCAUUGUUCGUCCGAGAGGGUGGAGUACUACCACCCUUAGAAUAAGAGUCAUUGGUUUUCAAAAAUCUUACUCCUUCGAGGAAAUCCUUCAAAUAUAAGGCCUACACCCAAUUGGGAUCUUGAAUCCUACAUCCAAAGGAGUGGUCUUACAGAUACUGAAUCUCCAUGGUUGAUAUAUCUUGUGCCAUUGCUAAACAUCUAUCGUGGCUCUCAUGGUCGUCAUCAAGCACAAUCCUCCAGGUUUCCUGCAGAAAUGGGUUUUGGUUCAUUCUCACCGUAAAUCCUACUGUUGGCAAUGGUUGCCUGUUACAAAGGUCAAAUGACAUACCAUUCUAAGGUUCUGGCUUAACAACGUCAUCUCUCUAGUAUAGGUAAGUCACUCCAGAUUUACCAUCCCACAUAGCAAAAGCGAAUAAUAAGAGUAAGUCGGCAUGGCGAUCAAUCCAUUCCGCACCCAAAUCAUUACCUUGUACUAUAUGGUUUAGUGAAUCUCGCGGUCUAACACUCUGGCAUCCUCACAAGCAUUGCAGAAUAUUUCUCUUGUUCGCGAACUAGGUUUAGAUAAUUCCAUUGGUUCUGCAUGCCAAACAAAAUCAACUAUCGUUCCUCUCAACUAUUAGGUUUACGUCAACUACUAUAAAACAUCUACUAUUUAUAGCUUCCUCUAGGGUUCUUCCUUCAGCAAGAUUGUGCUUGCUUCUUGUCAGAUCUUGGUGCAUGUGGUAAAACUUGAACUCAUCACUGGAUUGCAGCAUGUAUUAGGAUAUAGAAAGAAUAAAGACCUAAGGGGAAAACACUACCCAUAUGCUCAUGCUAGCAACAAAAACCAAACACAAAAUUCACACAAGUCACACCACGCAAGCAAGACCUAUAGGUAAGGUCAUAUCCACAAGAGAUAUGAUCUCGUCAUACUACCACAAAUCAUUUAUCGAACACAACUUAGUAAUGGUGGUCUGCCAACUAAAACUCUUCAAAAGACACUACUAUAAAUGCUGGGGUCAUCUACAUUGAAAAGAAAAGAUAAGAGUACAGGAGUGUGAAAUAUUGAUACGUCUCCAACGUAUCUAUAAUUUUUGAUUUUUCCAUGCUAUUAUAUUACCCCUUUUGGAUGUUUAUGGGCUUUAUUUUACACAUUUAUAUCAUUUUUGGGGCUAACCUACUAACCAGAGGCCCAGCCCGUAUUGUUGUUUUUUGCCUAUUUCAGUAUUUCAAAGAAAAGGAAUAUCAAACGGAGUCCAAACGGAAUGAAACCUUCGGGAGCGUGAUUUUUGGAACGAACAUGAUCCAUAGGACUUGGAGUGCAAGUCAAGAAGCAGUCGAGGCGGCCACGAGGGUGGAGGGUGCGCCCACCCCUACAGGGCGCGGCCCCCUAUCUCGUGGGCCCUCGGGAGGCCACCGACCUACUUCUUCCUCCUAUAUAUACCCACGUACCCCGAAAACAUCCGGGGAGCCAACGAAAAACAAUUUCCACCGUCGUAACCUUCUCUAUCCGCGAGAUCCCAUCUUGGAGCCUUCGUCGAUGCUCCGCCGGAGGGGGAAUCGACCACGGAGGGCUCCUACAUCAACACCAUAGCCCCUCUGAUGAGUUGUGAGUAGUUUACCACAGACCUUCGGGUCCAUAGUUAUUAGUUAGAUGGCUUCUUCUCUCUUUUUGGAUCUCAAUACCAUGUUCUCCCCCUCUCUUGUGGAGACCUGUUUGAUGUAACUCUUUUUGUGAUGUGUUUGUCGAGAUCCGAUGAAUUGUGGGUUUAUGAUCAAGUUUAUCUAUGAGAAAUAUUUGAAUCUCCUCUGAAUUCUUUUAUGUAUGAUUGAGUUAUCUUUGCAAGUCUCUUCGAAUUAUCAGUUUGGUUUGGCCUACUAGAUUGAUCUUUCUUGCAAUGGGAUAAGUGCUUAGCUUUGGCUUCAAUCUUGCGGUGUCCUUUCCCAGUGACAGUAGGGGCAGCAAGGCACGUAUUGUAUUGUUGCCAUCGAGGAUAAAAAGAUGGGGUUUAUAUCAUAUUGCAUGAGUUUAUCCCUCUAUAUCAUGGCAUCUUUCUUAAUGCGUUACUCUGUUCUUAUGAACUUAAUACUCUAGAUGCAUGCUGGAUAGCGGUCGAUGUGUGGAGUAAUAGUAGUAAAUGCAGGCAGGAGUCGGUCUACUUAUCGCGGACGUGAUGCCUAUAUACAUGAUCAUGCCUAGAUAAUCUCAUAAUUAUUCUCUUUUCUAUCAAUUACUCGACAGUAAUUUGUUCACCCACUGUAAUACUUAUGCUAUCUUGAGAGAAGCCACUAGUGAAACCUAUGGCCCCCAGGUCUAUCUUUUAUCAUAUAAGCUUGCAAUCUACUUUUAUUUGCAUCUUUACUUUUCGCAUCUAUAGUAUAAAAUACCAAAAAUAUAUUUAUCUUAUCAUACUAUCUCUAUCAGAUCUCACUUUUGCAAGUGGCCGUCAAGGGAUUGACAACCCCUUUAUUGAGUUGGUUGCGAGUUCUUUGUUUGUUUGUGUAGGUGCGUGGGACUUUUGAGGAGCCUCCUACUGGAUUGAUACCUUGGCUCUCAAAACCUGAGGGAAAUACUUACGCUACUAUUGUUGCAUCACCCUUUCCUCUUCAAGGAAAACCAACGCAAGCUCAAGACAUAGCAAGAAGGAUUUUUGGUGUCGUUGCCAGGGAGGUCUUUGCUCAAGUCAAGACAUACCAAGUACCCAUCACAAACUCAUCUCCCUCGCAUUUACUUUAUUUGCCAUUUGCCUCUCGUUUUCCUCUCCCCCACUUCACCCUUGCCAUUUUAUUCGCCCUCUCUUUCCCAAUCUUCUCCUCUCUCUCUCUCGCUUGUCUUUUUUUGUGCCUGUUUAUCCUUAUGGCUUUGCCUAAGAGUACCGACCUCCUUCUUAGAAGGUUGGAAGAGAUUGAAUCAAACAUUAGAAGUUUUAUGACUUUACAAUUUGAGCACAAUAAUUUCUUCAGAAAAGAGCUUAAAUAACAAAAAGGUUUUUUGGGGUUUAUGAACAAGGAGAUUGAUGAUAUGUCUAAAGAAUUUUAUGAUUUGAACUCUCAAAUUACCCGGCUUUAAAAUUCUAUAGCCCAAAUUUCUGAUAAGCAAGCUACCUUAGUCAAUAAGAUGGCUGCCAAACCAGAAAAAUUAGGUGAAAAUAAUGAUGAAGAUCUUAAAGUUAUUGAUGUGUCCCCUAUUAGAUCUUUGUUUUGCAAUAUGAAUCUUAAUAAUAAUGGGACUGGAGAUUAGUCAACUUUAGUUAGAAGGUGUCCCAAUAAUUUGGAGUUUUUAGAUCUUGAUGCUAAAUUUGGUAAAUGUGGGAUUGGAGAGGUCAUGACUUUAAAUAGUAUUGAACCCACUAUCUCGGAUUUCAAGGAAUUUGAUUAUGAUAAUUGUUCUUUAGAAGGUUGUAUUUCCUUGUUGCAAUCUGUUGUUAAUUCCCCUCAUGCUUAUAGUCAAAAUAAAGCUUUUACCAAACAUAUUGUUGAUGCCUUGAUGCAAUCUUAUGAUGAAAAACUUAAUUUGGAAGUUUCUAUACCUAGAAAACUUAAUGAUGAGUGGGAACCUACUAUAAAGAUUAAAAUUAAAGAUCAUGAGUGUUAUGCUUUGUGUGAUUUAGGUGCUAGUGUUUCCAUGAUUCCGAAAACUUUAUGUGAUAUUCUAGGUUUCCAUGAUCUUGAUGAUUGCUCUUUAAAUUUGCACCUUGCGGAUUCUACCAUUAAAAAGCUAAUGGGAAGGAUCAAUGAUAUUCUCAUUGUUGCAAAUAGAAAUUUGGUGCCCGUAGAUUCUAUCGUUCUUGAUAUAUAUUGCAAUCUUUCUUGCCAUAUUAUUCUUAGUAGACCUUUCCUUAGAACGAUUGGCGCGAUUAUUGAUAUGAAGGGAAUAUUAGAUUCCAAUUUCCAUUAAGGAAAGGCAUGGAGAAUUUUCCAAGAAAGAAAAUUAAAUUACCUUAUGAAUCUAUCAUGCGGGCUACUUAUGAAUUGAGUGCCAAAGAUGGCACUACUUAGAUCUAUCUUCGCUUUUAUGCCUAGCUAGGGGCGUUACACGAUAGCGCUAGUUGGGAGGCAACCCAAUUUUAUUUGUGUUUUUUGUUUUUGUUUAUGUUUAGUAAUAAGUUUUGCAUCUACCUUCUGUUUAGAUGUGUUUUUAUGUUUUAUUUAGUGUUUGUGCCAAGUAGAACCUAUAUGAUAACCUAUGAUGAUAGUUGAUUUGAUUCUGCUGAAAAACAAAAACUUUGCGCGCAUGAAAUUAGUUUUGUUAAAUCACAGAAAUGUGAUUUUGCAUUGAUUCUUUUUGAUGUAGAUCAAUAGACAAAUUUUCUAGGACUUCCUAUUUUGGUAGGAUUUUUAGAGUUCCAGAAGUUUGUGUUAGUUGCAGAUUUCUACAGACUGUUCUGUUUUUGACAGAUUCUGUUUUUCGUGUGUUGUUUGCUUAUUUUAAUGCAUCUAUGGAUAGUAUUAAGUGGUAUGAACCAUAGAGAACUUGAAAUGCAGUAGGUUUAACACCAAUAUAAAUAAAGGAUGAGUUCAUUACAGUACCUUAUGUGGUGGUUUUGUUUUCUUUCACUAACGGAGCUUAUGAGAUUUCCUGUUGAGUUUUGUGUUGUGAAGUUUUCAAGUUUUGGGUAAAGAUUUGAUGGACUAUGGAAUAAGGAGUGGCAAAAUCCUAAGCUUGGGGAUUCCCAUGGCACCCCAAGAUAUUCAAGAAUAGCCAAAAGCCUAAGCUUGGGGAUGCCCCCGGAAGGCAUCCCCUCUUUCAUCUUCGUUCAUCGGUAACUUUACUUGGAGCUAUAUUUUUAUUCGCCACAUGAUAUGUGUUUUGCUUGGAGCGUCGUGUAUGAUAUUAGUGUUUGCAUUUUAGUUUUCCACAAUCAUCCUUGCUGUACACACCUUUUGGGAGAAGCCCACUUGAUUGAAAUUUAUUAGAAUUCUCUAUGUGCUUCACUUAUAUCUUUUGAGCUAGAUAGUUUUUGCUCUAGUGCUUCACUUAUAUCUUUUAGAGCAUGGCGGUGGCUUGAUUUUGUAGAAAUUGUUAGGCUCUCAUGCUUCACUUAUAUUAUUUUGAGAGUCUCUUAGAACAGCAUGGUAUUUGCUAUGGUUAUAAAAUUGGUCCUAGAAUGGUAGGCAUCCAAGUUGGGUAUAAUAAAAACUAUCAUAGGAAGUGAAUUGGAUGCUAUGAUCAAUUUGAUACUUGCUAAUUGUUUUGAGAUAUGGAGGUAGUGAUAUUAAAGUCAUUCUAGUUGGGUGAUUAUGAAUUUAAAGAAUGCUUGUGUUGAAGUUAGCAAGUCCCGUAGCAUGCACGUAUGGUUAAAGUUGUGUAACAAAUUUGAAACAUGAAGUGUCCUUGGAUUGUGCAUCCUUAUGAGUGGCGGUCAGGGACGAGCGAUGGUCUUUUCCUACCAUUAUAUCCCUCUAGGAGCAUGCGCGUAGUGCUUGGUUUUUGAUGACUUCUAAAUUUUUGCAACAAGUAUAUGAGUUCUUUUGACUAAUGUUGAGUCCAUGGAUUAUACGCACUUUUACCUUUCCAUCAUUGCUAGCCUCUUCGGUACCGUGCAUUGCCCUUUCUCACCUUGAGAGUUGGUGCAAACUUCGCCGGUGCAUCCAAACCCCGUGAUAUGAUACGCUCUAUCACACAUAAACCUCCUUAUAUCUUCCUCAAAACAGCCACCAUACCUACCUAUUAUGGCAUUUCCAUAGCCAUUCCGAGAUAUAUUGCCAUGCAAUUUUCCGCCGUUCUGUUUAUCAUCAUGACACACAUUACUUUUGUCAUAUUCCCAUUGCAUGAUCAUGUAGUUAACAUCGUAUUUGUGGCAAAGCUACCAUGCAUAAUUUUUCAUACAUGUCACUCUUGAUUCAUUGGACCAUCCCGGUACACCGCCGGAGGCAUUCAUAUAGAGCCAUACCUUGUUCUAGUUUUGAGUUGUAAUUCAUAUGUUGUAAAUCAAUAAAAGUGUGAUGAUCAUCAUUAUUAGAGCAUUGUCCCCAAAAAUAAAAAAAAGGCCAAAAAAAAGAAAGGCCAAAGAAAAAAAGAAAAGAAAAAGAAAAUAAAAAAGGGGCAAUGUUACUAUCUCUUUUUCCACACUUGUGCUUCAAAGUAGCACCAUGUUCUUCAUAUAGCGAGUCUCAUAUAUUGUGCUUCAAAGUAGCACCAUGUUCUUCAUAUGGUGAGUCUCAUAUGUUGUCACUUUCAUAUACUAGUGGGAAUUUUUCAUUAUAGAACUUGGCUUGUAUAUUCCUACAAUGGGCUUCCUCAAAUGCCCUAGGUCUUCGUGAGAAAGCAAGUUGGAUGCACACCCACUAGCUUUCUUUUGUUGAGCUUUCAUUCAUUUAUAGCUCUAGUGCAUCCGUUGCAUGGCAAUCCCUACUCCUCAUGUUGACAUCAAUUGAUGGGCAUCUCCAUAUCCCGUUGAUUAUCCUCGUCAAUGUGAGACUUUCUCUUUUUUUUGUCUUCUCCACACAAUCCCCAUCAUCAUAUUCUAUUCCACCCAUAGUGCUAUAUCCAUGGCUCACUCUCAUGUAUUGCGUGAAAGUUGAAAAAGUUUGAGAUUAUUUAAGUACAAAACAAUUGCUUGGCUUGUCAUCGGGGGUGUAGAAUUUGGGAACAUUUUUGUGUGACAAAAAUGAAGCAUAGCCUAACUAUAUGAUUUUGUAGGGAUGAACUUUCUUUAGCCAUGUUAUUUUGAGAAGACAUGAUUGCUUUUAUUAGUAUGCUUGAAGUAUUACUAUUUCUUAUAUCAAUAUGAACUUUUGUUUUGAAUCAUUUUGAUCUGAACAUUCAUGCCACAAUAAAGAAAAUUACAUUGAGAAUUAUGCUAGGUAGCAUUCCAAAUCAAAAAUUAUGUUUUUAUCAUUUACCUACUCGAGGACGAGCAGGAAUUAAGCUUGGGGAUACUUGAUACGUCUCCAACGUAUCUAUAAUUUUUGAUUGUUCCAUGCUAUUAUAUUACCCCUUUUGGAUGUUUAUGGGCUUUAUUUACGCAUUUAUAUCAUUUUUGGGACUAACCUACUAACCGGAGGCCCAGCCUGUAUUGCUGUUUUUUUGCCUAUUUCAGUAUUUCGAAGAAAAGGAAUAUCAAACAGAGUCCAAACGGAAUGAAACCUUCGGGAGCGUGAUUUUUGGAACGAACGUGAUCCAGAGGACUUGGAGUGCAAGUCAAGAAGCAGCCGAGGCAGCCACGAGGGUGGAGGGCGCGCCCACCCCUACCGGGCGCGCCCCCUAUCUCGUGGGCCCUCGGGCGGCCACCGACCUACUUCUUCCUCCUAUAUAUACCCACGUACCCCGAAAACAUCCAGGGAGCCAACAAAAAACAAUUUCCACCAUCGUAACCUUCUGUAUCCGCGAGAUCCCAUCUUGGAGCCUUCGCCGGCGCUCCGCCGGAGGGGGAAUCGACCAUGGAGGGCUUCUACAUCAACACCAUAACUCCUCUGAUGAGUUGUGAGUAGUUUUCCACAGACCUUCGGGUCCAUAGUUAUUAGCUAGAUGGCUUCUUCUCUCUUUUUGGAUCUCAAUACCAUAUUCUCCCCCUCUCUUGUGGAGAUCUAUUUGAAGUAACUCUUUUUGCGGUGUGUUUGUCGAGAUCCGAUGAAUUGUGGGUUUAUGAUCAAGUUUAUCUAUGAGAAAUAUUUGAAUCUCCUCUGAAUUCUUUUAUGUAUGAUUGAGUUAUAUUUGCAAGUCUCUUCGAAUUAUCAGUUUGGUUUGGCCUACUAGAUUGAUCUUUCUUGUAAUGGGAGAAGUGCUUAGCUUUGGCUUCAAUCUUGCGGUGUCCUUUGCCAAUGACAGCAGGGGCAGCAAGGCACGUAUUGUAUUGUUGCCAUCGAGGAUAAAAAGAUGGGGUUUAUAUCAUAUUGCAUGAGUUUAUCCCUCUACAUCAUGUCAUCUUUCUUAAUGUGUUAUUCUGUUCUUAUGAACUUAAUACUCUAGAUGCAUGUUGGAUAGCGGUCGAUGUGUGGAGUAAUAGUAGUAGAUGCAGGCAGGAGUCGGUCCACUUGUCGCGGACGUGAUGCCUAUAUACAUGAUCAUGCCUAGAUAAUCUCAUAAUUAUUCUCUUUUCUAUCAAUUGCUCGACAGUAAUUUGUUCACCCACCAUAAUACUUAUGCUAUCUUGAGAGAAGCCACUAGUGAAACAUAUGGCCCCCGGGUCUAUCUUUUAUCAUAUAAGCUUUCAAUCUACUUUUAUUUGCAUCUUUACUUUUCGCAUCUAUAUUAUAAAAUACCAAAAAAAUAUUUAUCUUAUCAUACUAUCUCUAUCAGAUCUCACUUUCGCAAGUGGCCGUCAAGGGAUUGACAACCCCUUUAUUGCGUUGGUUGCAAGUUCUUUGUUUGUUUGUGUAGGUGCGUGGGACUUUUGAGGAGCCUCCUACUGGAUUGAUACCUUGGUUCUCAAAAACUGAGGGAAAUACUUACGCUACUAUUGCUGCAUCACCCUUUCCUCUUCAAGGAAAACACAGGCAAGCUCAAGACGUAGCAAAUAUCAAGUAUAGUAAGGUUGUGAAAUAAGUUUUUAGUCAUAUGGCUAGGGUCACGACCUACAGUCAACACACUACUCUGAUACCAUCUGUAACGACCUGCAUCUGAUAAGAUUCAAUGUCUCUGUGCUCACUAUGCUAGUCCCUAGAUCGACUCGCUAGCACACAUAGUACAUAUGAAUAUCAAAUAACCAGUGCAUCAUUUACCAUAACGUAUGAUCCAGAAAAAUGCUAACUUUAUUCAAUAAUAACAGCGGAAAGGUAGCAUAAUAAAUGAUGACUCUAUCAAUGCCCACUAGCGAAAAAUGUUGAGUGAAGACUCGCAACCCUACUGUAUCUCACUGAUCAUCUGAAUAUCCUACAACAUGAUAAGUUAAAGCCACAAGGGUCAAUACAUUGAAUGUAUUGGCAAAUCACACAAUAUGAUAAAGCAAACCUACAUCCACAAGAAAACUAUGACAAACAAAACAAUCAAGUUUGGUUUCACGUAAAACUACCUUCACCUACCUCCACGACAUAGGCAAGGUGCAAACAACACAGAUGAUAA